GGGGAUUUAGCUCAGUGGUAGAGCGUCUGCUUUGCAAUGUCUGCUUCGACAGUUGGAUUGCUGAAGGUCUGGGGUUCAAUCCCCCAAGUCUCCA